rnacentral:rRNA from 1 species
AUUGAACGCUGGCGGCAGGCCUAACACAUGCAAGUCGAGCGAGCGGCGGACGGGUGAGUAAUAUAUGGGGACCUCCCGAUAGGGGGGGAUAACUACUGGAAACGGUAGCUACUACCGCAUACUAUCGGAUAACCCAUAUGGUAUUAGCUCGUAGGUGAGGUAAUGGCCCACCUAGGCGACGAUCCCUAGCUGGUCUGAGAGGAUGAUCAGCCGCACUGGGACGGGGACCCGGCCCAGACGCCUACGGAGGGAGCAGUGGGGAAUAUUGCACAAGGGGCGCAAGCCUGAUGCAGCAAUGCCGCGUGUAUGAAGAAGGCCAUAGGGUUGUAAAGUACUUUCAGUCGGGAGGCGUUACCGACAGAAGAAGCACCGGCUAACUACGUGCCAGCAGCCGCGGUAAUUC